UUUAUGGAGAGUUUGAUCCUGGCUCAGGAUGAACGCUGGCGGCGUGCCUAAUACAUGCAAGUCGAGCGAACGGACGAGAAGCUUGCUUCUCUGAUGUUAGCGGCGGACGGGUGAGUAACACGUGGAUAACCUACCUAUAAGACUGGGAUAACUUCGGGAAACCGGAGCUAAUACCGGAUAAUAUUUUGAACCGCAUGGUUCAAAAGUGAAAGACGGUCUUGCUGUCACUUAUAGAUGGAUCCGCGCUGCAUUAGCUAGUUGGUAAGGUAACGGCUUACCAAGGCAACGAUGCAUAGCCGACCUGAGAGGGUGAUCGGCCACACUGGAACUGAGACACGGUCCAGACUCCUACGGGAGGCAGCAGUAGGGAAUCUUCCGCAAUGGGCGAAAGCCUGACGGAGCAACGCCGCGUGAGUGAUGAAGGUCUUCGGAUCGUAAAACUCUGUUAUUAGGGAAGAACAUAUGUGUAAGUAACUGUGCACAUCUUGACGGUACCUAAUCAGAAAGCCACGGCUAACUACGUGCCAGCAGCCGCGGUAAUACGUAGGUGGCAAGCGUUAUCCGGAAUUAUUGGGCGUAAAGCGCGCGUAGGCGGUUUUUUAAGUCUGAUGUGAAAGCCCACGGCUCAACCGUGGAGGGUCAUUGGAAACUGGAAAACUUGAGUGCAGAAGAGGAAAGUGGAAUUCCAUGUGUAGCGGUGAAAUGCGCAGAGAUAUGGAGGAACACCAGUGGCGAAGGCGACUUUCUGGUCUGUAACUGACGCUGAUGUGCGAAAGCGUGGGGAUCAAACAGGAUUAGAUACCCUGGUAGUCCACGCCGUAAACGAUGAGUGCUAAGUGUUAGGGGGUUUCCGCCCCUUAGUGCUGCAGCUAACGCAUUAAGCACUCCGCCUGGGGAGUACGACCGCAAGGUUGAAACUCAAAGGAAUUGACGGGGACCCGCACAAGCGGUGGAGCAUGUGGUUUAAUUCGAAGCAACGCGAAGAACCUUACCAAAUCUUGACAUCCUUUGACAACUCUAGAGAUAGAGCUUUCCCCUUCGGGGGACAAAGUGACAGGUGGUGCAUGGUUGUCGUCAGCUCGUGUCGUGAGAUGUUGGGUUAAGUCCCGCAACGAGCGCAACCCUUAAGCUUAGUUGCCAUCAUUAAGUUGGGCACUCUAAGUUGACUGCCGGUGACAAACCGGAGGAAGGUGGGGAUGACGUCAAAUCAUCAUGCCCUUAUGAUUUGGGCUACACACGUGCUACAAUGGACAAUACAAAGGGCAGCGAAACCGCGAGGUCAAGCAAAUCCCAUAAAGUUGUUCUCAGUUCGGAUUGUAGUCUGCAACUCGACUACAUGAAGCUGGAAUCGCUAGUAAUCGUAGAUCAGCAUGCUACGGUGAAUACGUUCCCGGGUCUUGUACACACCGCCCGUCACACCACGAGAGUUUGUAACACCCGAAGCCGGUGGAGUAACCUUUUAGGAGCUAGCCGUCGAAGGUGGGACAAAUGAUUGGGGUGAAGUCGUAACAAGGUAGCCGUAUCGGAAGGUGCGGCUGGAUCACCUCCUUU
rnacentral:rRNA from 1 species